rnacentral:rRNA from 1 species
ACUCAAGAAAAGGAUUUUAGUCCAACCUAAAAUUUUACUAAUAACCCAAAAUAAACUAUUUUAGAGCAAUUUAAAUAAGGUACAGCCUAUUUAAAACAGGAUACAACCUAAACUAACGGGUCAUCUUCAUUUUCUGUACAACUAAGUGGGCCUAAAAGCAGCCACCUUUAAUAAAAGCGUCAAAGCUUAAUUGAACCGAUACCCCAAUACCAAAAAUUACAGCAAACCCUUUACCAGUAUUGAGUAAUUCUAUAUUUGUAUAGAAAUUAUUAUGUUAAAACUAGUAACAAGAAGAAGAACUUCUCUUAAAUGCAAGUGUAAAUCAGAAAGGACACCCCACUGAUAAUUAUUCACCCAUGAGCACAGAGUAGCAACUUAGCAAGAAAACCCUACUUGUCCUAAUGUCAACCUAACACAAGAGCAUCUCAAGAAAGAUUAAAAGAAAAAGAAGGAAUUCGGCAAAUAUUAACCUCGCCUGUUUANCAAAANCAUCGCCUCUUGACAAACUAUAAGAGGUCCAGCCUGCCCAGUGACUCUGUUCAACGGCCGCGGUANCCUAACCGUGCGAAGGUANCGUAAUCACUUGUUCUUUAAAUGAGGACUAGUAUGAAUGGCACCACGAGGGUUAUACUGUCUCCUUUUUCUAAUCAGUAAAACUAAUCUUCCCGUGCAGAAGCGGGAAUAAACCUAUAAGACGAGAAGACCCUAUGGAGCUUUAAACUAAGUCACAUUUGCUUUACUCUCUACCCCUCCCCAGAGAAGUCAUAAACAUUUUAACAAACUGAUGACUAGUUUUCGGUUGGGGUGACCGCGGAGCAGAAAAAAACCUCCACAUUGAAAGGAACUUAAUCCUAAGCCAAGAGCCACAACUCUAAGCAUCAAUAAAACGACAUUAAUUGACCCAAUAUAUUGAUCAACGAACCAAGUUACCCUAGGGAUAACAGCGCAAUCCACUUCAAGAGCUCCUAUCGACAAGUGGGUUUACGACCUCGAUGUUGGAUCAGGGUAUCCCGGUGGUGCAGCCGCUACCAAAGGUUCGUUUGUUCAACGAUUAAAACCCU